CACAUCAUUAAGUUGCUUGCCAACCGCCAUAAAACAAGAAGAAGAAGAAGAAGAAGAAGAAGAAGAAGAAGAGGCGACUCGCUUGCUCGAGAAGGUUAACUGUUUUUCCAAGCGCCUACUUGAUUAGACCGUUGGCGCGGAGUCUGCAGGUUGGUUGUCCUACAAAAGAAAAUACUUCAAGAGAAUCAAACUGUGAAGAUCACGUUUUAUUCGUUUGAAAAAGGUUGCCAUGGUUGCAGAAAUUGGAGGAGCGUCCUUAGAUGACGCAAUACGACGAGCUAUGGGAUUCCUCAUGUCCCAUGAAUUGGCAUUGCAGUUCAACCUUUUUGG